UACGGGGGGUGCGAGCGUUGUCCGGAAUCACUGGGCGUAAAGGGCGCGUAGGUGGCCUGAUAAGGGUGUGGUGAAAGUCCAGGGCUCAACCCCGGAUCUGCCGUGCCGACUGUUGGGCUGGAGUACUGUAGGGGCAGGCGGAAUUCCGGGUGUAGCGGUGGAAUGCGUAGAGAUCCGGAGGAAGACCGGUGGCGAAGGCGGCCUGCUGGGCAGUUACUGACACUGAGGCGCGACAGCGUGGGGAGCAAACAGG
rnacentral:rRNA from 1 species